AAAAUUCAGUUUACUUUCAAUGCAUUCUACGUGUUUCUUCUUCGCACUUGAUAUUCUGAAGCAUCAUUUUAGUAUGGUGGAGGAGGAUAGGUUCCAAAAAAAUGACCUAAAAAGGGUGAAAUGAUUGUUU